rnacentral:lncRNA from 1 species
GCACGGUUUAGACCAUGGGUACAAUGAACUCCCACAACGGAUGCUAGAUGAAUUAGCGAGAAUAAAAAUGUAAUCUAAUCAAAAGUAGAAAUAUGUACAGUAUAAAGCACGGCUUAAGUCCUGUGGUACUCUAUCUAUAUUAUAAAGGGGCUAUUAAUGUUCUGUAUGAGUUGAGACAGAAUAUCGAGAAACUUGCCAUGCAGUCGUCAAGGAAGAAAGUUUAUGUCUGAUCACCUUGCUAAGGUGAAAAUUGCAGCUGAGGAACUAAGUCUUGCAAUUUUGUAUUGUCAUGUGGUAUACUGGAUGAAAAACGAUGACUGAGUUGGAUUUUGUGUUUUGUUCCACCAGAUUUUAAGUCACACAAGCGUUGUAGCUUUUCUUUGUGAAAAUAAUCAUGAACUGAGACGAAUAAACUAUACCUCACCCUCGAU